rnacentral:rRNA from 1 species
UGAGGAAUAUUGGUCAAUGGGCGAGAGCCUGAACCAGCCAAGUAGCGUGCAGGAUGACGGCCCUAUGGGUUGUACACUGCUUUUAUAUGGGAAUAAAGUGAGGGACGUGUCCCUUAUUGCAUGUACCAUACGAAUAAGGACCGGCUAAUUCCGUGCCAGCAGCCGCGGUAAUACGGAAGGUCCAGGCGUUAUCCGGAUUUAUUGGGUUUAAAGGGAGCGUAGGCUGUUUGUUAAGCGUGUUGUGAAAUGUAAGAGCUCCACUUUUAGAUUGCAGCGCGAACUGGCAGACUUGAGUGCGCACAACGUAGGCGGAAUUCAUGGUGUGGCGGUGAGAUGCUUAGAUAUCAUGGAGAACACCGAUUGCGAAGGCAGCUUACGGGGGCGCAACUGACGCUGAAGCUCGAAGGAGCGGGUAUCGAACAGG